AGUCGUAACAAGGUAUCCGUAGGUGAACCUGCGGAUGGAUCAUUACCAAAGAUCCCAUCCCACCUCUUGUGAACUGGUUCUGCACAGUUGGCCCUUGGUGCCAUUGGAGGCGCACAGGCCAGCACUGCACCCACAUGCCUUCUUGGCUGUGCGUGCGCCUGGCCGUGCAUGCCCUUGCACCUGGGUGCCAGCUGUAUUACAAACACAUGUCGAAGCUGAACUAAAGUAAUUGUCUGGGAAUGCUUGGACAACUUUUAGCAAUGGAUCUCUAGGCUCCU
rnacentral:misc_RNA from 1 species